ensembl:lncRNA PMS2P3 PMS1 homolog 2, mismatch repair system component pseudogene 3
GCACUGCCCUCGCUUCCUGUGAGUCUUCAGGUCGCCGCUUGCUCUCGUUCCUAGGGUUUGGCCUGCAGUGGACGAGCAUCGCAUAGCCUGCGGGGCUGGAUGCUGACCGCCCGGGCCAGCACCUAGGCGGACGCGGAGCUGUGCAGACCAGGGUUCGCGCGGGCCGGGUGGAGGCUCAAGCGGGGACCCCGGAGCGUGAGCCCCGGAGUCGGCGGCGCUGGGGCCAGAGGGGCCGGGAGGGAGUCGGCUGAGGUGGCGGCGGAGGCGAAGUGGCGGCGGAGGCGAAGGGGCGGCGGGACCCGGGCCUGGCCCGUAUGUGUCCUUGGCGGCCUAGACUAGGCCGUCGCUGUAUGGUGAGCCCCAGGGAGGCGGAUCUGGGCCCCCAGAAGGACACCCGCCUGGAUUUGCCCCGUAGGCCCGGCCCGGGCCCCUCGGGAGCAGAACAGCCUUGGUGAGGUGGACAGGAGGGGACCUCGCGAGCAGACGCGCGCGCCAGCGACAGCAGCCCCGCCCCGGCCUCUCGGGAGCCGGGGGGCAGAGGCUGCGGAGCCCCAGGAGGGUCUAUCAGCCACAGUCUCUGCAUGUUUCCAAGAGCAACAGGAAAUGAACACAUUGCAGGGGCCAGUGUCAUUCAAAGAUGUGGCUGUGGAUUUCACCCAGGAGGAGUGGCGGCAACUGGACCCUGAUGAGAAGAUAGCAUACGGGGAUGUGAUGUUGGAGAACUACAGCCAUCUAGUUUCUGUGGGGUAUGAUUAUCACCAAGCCAAACAUCAUCAUGGAGUGGAGGUGAAGGAAGUGGAGCAGGGAGAGGAGCCGUGGAUAAUGGAAGGUGAAUUUCCAUGUCAACAUAGUCCAGAACCUGCUAAGGCCAUCAAACCUAUUGAUCGGAAGUCAGUCCAUCAGAUUUGCUCUGGGCCAGUGGUACUGAGUCUAAGCACUGCAGUGAAGGAGUUAGUAGAAAACAGUCUGGAUGCUGGUGCCACUAAUAUUGAUCUAAAGCUUAAGGACUAUGGAGUGGAUCUCAUUGAAGUUUCAGACAAUGGAUGUGGGGUAGAAGAAGAAAACUUUGAAGGCUUAAUCUCUUUCAGCUCUGAAACAUCACACAUGUAAGAUUCAAGAGUUUGCCGACCUAACUGAAGUUGAAACUUUCGGUUUUCAGGGGGAAGCUCUGAGCUCACUGUGUGCACUGAGCGAUGUCACCAUUUCUACCUGCCACGCGUCGGUGAAGGUUGGGACUCGACUGGUGUUUGAUCACGAUGGGAAAAUCAUCCAGGAAACCCCCUACCCCCACCCCAGAGGGACCACAGUCAGCGUGAAGCAGUUAUUUUCUACGCUACCUGUGCGCCAUAAGGAAUUUCAAAGGAAUAUUAAGAAGACGUGCCUGCUUCCCCUUCGCCUUCUGCCGUGAUUGUCAGUUUCCUGAGGCCUCCCCAGCCAUGCUUCCUGUACAGCCUGCAGAACUGUGAGUCAAUUAAACCUCUUUUCUUCAU